AGUGAACGCUGGCGGUAGGCCUAACACAUGCAAGUCGAACGGCAGCACAGUAAGAGCUUGCUCUUACGGGUGGCGAGUGGCGGACGGGUGAGGAAUACAUCGGAAUCUACUUUUUCGUGGGGGAUAACGUAGGGAAACUUACGCUAAUACCGCAUACGACCUACGGGUGAAAGCAGGGGAUCUUCGGACCUUGCGCGAUUGAAUGAGCCGAUGUCGGAUUAGCUAGUUGGCGGGGUAAAGGCCCACCAAGGCGACGAUCCGUAGCUGGUCUGAGAGGAUGAUGAGGCAAACUGGAACUGAGACACGGUCCAGACUCCUACGGGAGGCAGCAGUGGGGAAUAUUGGACAAUGGGCGCAAGCCUGAUCCAGCCAUACCGCGUGGGUGAAGAAGGCCUUCGGGUUGUAAAGCCCUUUUGUUGGGAAAGAAAAGCAGCAGGUUAAUACCCCGCUGUUCUGACGGUACCCAAAGAAUAAGCACCGGCUAACUUCGUG
rnacentral:rRNA from 1 species